rnacentral:rRNA from 1 species
UUWACGARCGGCGAACGGGUGAGUAAUGUCUGGRAAACUGCCURAUGRAGGGGGAUAACUACUGKAAACGGUAGCUAAUACCGCAUAACGUCUDSGGACCAAAGUGGGGGRACUUSGGGCCUYACGCCAUCAGAUGUGCCCAGAUGGGAUUAGCUAGUAGGUGGGGUAAUGGCUCACCUAGGCGACGAUCCCUAGCUGGUCUGAGAGGAUGACCAGCCACACUGGAACUGAGACACGGUCCAGACCCYACGGGAGGCAGCAGUGGGGAAUAUUGCACAAUGGGCGCAAGCCUGAUGCAGCCAUGCCGCGUGUGUGAAGAAGGCCUDMGGGUUGUAAAGCACUUUCAGCGAGGAGGAAGGGUUCAGUGUUAAUAGCACUGUKMAUUGACGUUACUCGCAGWAGAAGCACCGGCUAACUCCGUGCCAGCAGCCGCGGUAAUACGGAGGGUGCAAGCGUUAAUCGGAAUUACUGGGCGUAAAGCGCACGCAGGCGGUUUGUUAAGUCAGAUGUGAAAUCCCCGCGCUUAACGUGGGAACUGCAUUUGAAACUGGCAAGCUAGAGUCUUGUAGAGGGGGGUAGAAUUCVAGGUGUAGCGGUGAAAUGCGUAGAGAUCWGGAGGAAUACCGGUGGCGAAGGCGGCCCSSUGGACAAAGACUGACGCUCAGGUGCGAAAGCGUGGGGAGCAAACAGGAUUAGAUACCMUGGUAGUCCACGCUGUAAACGAUGUCGACUUGGAG